AGACAAAGGAAGAGACACAGAAAAUGGCCGUGAAUAACAUUUUGAUGACUAGCCAACAUUUCUCAAGAACAAAAAAAGAGCGAGUUCAAAGGUUAAUCAGUUGUAUUACCUCUCAUUAAUUUAAUUAGGUCUUGUAACACGUUAUUAGCAAAGUAUGACCAAUAAGUUGAAAAGCAUUUGUAGUGAACAUAUGAUGUUGACGUUCUUGAAUGAAGUUCCUUAUACCAUCCAGCAGAGGGUGCAUGUCUGAGUCACUAAAGCAAGCAGGUGCUUGUUUUGGGGUAUAUCUGAAAGAGUAUUUGGCUUUUAUAAAAAGGUCUGGAUAUCACAGCUAAUGAGAUUAUGCCCCCACUCUCUGCGUAAACACUAUUUGAAUGUUUGCUCAAAUGUAGGCUCGGUAAACAGGCUAUUUACGGGAACUGUUUGAUAUAUGUUGACGUGCUCAACCUUUAUCAGCUUCAAAAAAAAAAAACAAAAAACAAAAUAUAGAGUGAGGUCCAGCCAGAAGAUUGCAAAAUGAAUCAUACUGCCCACACAUAACAUCCUACAGGGUGUCAUGGCGGCUCAGUGGGCAGCAGCGUUACUUCACACCUCCAGGAUUGGGGAUGCAGGGAUAGAUACAUACACAUCUGUACUGUUAGUAAGUUGGCGGAGCUUAUUUCAAGCAGGGUAAGAGCAGCUAUUUAAAAACCUGGCCAUUUGCUCUGCAAAUUCCAGAACAAAACUGUAAGUAUGUUUAACUCACUAUAUUUAAAAGCACUUACUAUAAUUUCAACACGAAACAUUUACAGAGAUCACUGUUUUCCACAUUAUCUUUCUUUAUUUCUACAUCCAAAACUGCAGGGGGUGACAAAAUACCGACACAGACAGCGAGAUCGCAGAGUUAACAAGGAAAGUCUUCAUCGCCAAUUGACUGAGGUCUCUAGCCAUGCUAAACCGUUACUUUCUGCGUCUGAGGGCGGCUAAGAACAGAGACUUGCGAUCUGAAGCUUGCUGUUGGCUUCCAAUGGGCCCCUCCCAGCCAGAAUGGACCCAAUUCUCAGAAGUUCUCUCCUAAAUGCAUAAAUUAUGUAAACGAUGUCACAAGGCUCCUCCCACCUCUUUCAUCAUUCAACG